rnacentral:lncRNA from 1 species
AGGAAAAUUGUAGAUUCUUGAGCGACAUACUAGGGAGAACAUUUUAUGUUCUCCUCAGUUAGGCUGUGGGCAUUCAUUUGUGUUUAGACUCACCAUGUGUUGCGGUGUGAUUCACUCCCGAACUCGCGGCGUAUUGCGUCGACUUCAUCCUACCUCCAUCGCUUAUCCCUCGAAACACCUUCAAUUUUCCCAACAGUCCCCGACUAAGUCCAGGUUAGGAACUGAUGAGAUGGAGCUCUCUCUCAAUACAAAUCCUCGGAGACCUUUUUAAAUAUUUUCUUUGAAAAUAUUGAGGCACAUACCUCAUGCGACUAGAUUUUAGGGUGAGAUACAGGAUAUGUUCCCUUUCUUGUCCUUUUCCUCAUCC